UCUGUCUCAGGUUUUGCAGUGUAGAUCACUUCAGAGGCGAAAAUCACGUGACCCAGGGCGCGUUGUGAGGAGUGAAAGCAAUGGCAAUUAUGAAGGGAAAGGCUGUGAUUACGAAAGUGGCAGCGUUGGCCAAGUAUGGGGCGCUCCCAGGAACCAUGGUGUUUGCUCUCCUCUACUCUCCCCCUAAUUACUCCUCUUCUUCCAACAAGCAUGCUCCUGCCACUUCCAAUUAGUCAACACAUUCUAUUCGGGAUAUGGAUUGCUUGUUGAUGCAAGUUAGCAAUGUGAGUGUCCUUUAAUGUUUUGUAAUAAAGAAGAUGACUAGAGAUUUUCUUGAAAAUUUCACAUUUUGGUUGUCUUGGGGAGACAAUGUUUCUUCUGGAUUAUAUGCAGUCAAAGACUUUUUUUUUUCCUGAGCAAUACUGAUUAAAAAAUACAAUCAAUGUACGUAGCCCCAUUUAUUAUCAACUUUUGUAGAUUACCAUUUUGAACAUAUAUGGAGUUGGAUCUUCGUAUUCCUAUUUGAGCA